UUUUUGUUUUUCUGUGUGUAUUUUUUGUCUACUUUUUACUUAGCUUGGCUUUAGCCUUGCAAUAUUUUUUCAGUGUAGUUUAUAGCAUAACAGAAUCUCUUCACCUGUAAACUCCUUCAAGGUGACAAGGAGGAUCCAGAGGUGCCAUUCCUGUGACCUAAAUUCCACAAUACGUCUCUUUCCUUAGUGGAAGCAUUUCUGCAUUCCAUUAGUCAAUAAUUCUCCCAAAAAGAUGGAAUUACCUUCAUCAUCUUUCUCUACUCUGUUCUGGAAUACUUUCUUGCAGUUACAGCUUCAUGUUUCUGUUUAUUUGUUACAUCAUUCUUCUUUCUGAUCCACAGUAAGACAGACAUUCAGUUCCUAUGAAGAGCAUUGCUUUCCACACAAUUAAAGUUUACUGUGGGCACUCAGAAAGAGGAGAUUCAGAAAUUCCUCUAAAGUCACCGAAGGGAAGUGAGCAAACUCUUGUGACUGUCAAGUAAAAUCUAGAGAAUUUCCUGUAGGUCACAUACAAAAGCUAGAUACACUUUGGUGCAGAACAAUAUUUCAUCUUGUUCUUAGUUGUCACAUCUGCGUAAGCAUUGUAUACCAGUGUAAAUCCAUUUCUGAACUUUGAUAGGGAUGUAACCCUGGCACAGUCACAUCUUCCACUUUCAACUGACUACAGAUCACUAAGGGAAGAGAAAGAGAACAGGGAAGAACACAGAUGCAUGGCAAGACACAACAGCCUCCUGGGCAGGGAUGCAAACACUGUGUAAUGAUCUUACUUCACAGAACUGCUCUCAUUUUGGUUGCUGUGUGGGUUUUAAUGCUACUUCCAAACUUUCCCUCUCUGAGCUAAGUUUCACUUCUUUAAAAUCGCUUAACUGUGCUUGGGUGAAUUCAUUCUGAUCUUCUCUGAGAAAGGCUUUGUUUUUUAUUUCUGCAGAAAAAUACAUAAAAGAUACGUUAUUUUAGUAGUAAGUUUCGCUUGAAGUCUGCAAUGAAGACAGUACAAAUCUCCUGUGAUCAAUAGUAAAUGUUUUCAGACAAUAAACAUUGAAGGACAAUAAAGAGAACCGGAUAUGGAAACUGUUUCCUUUAUUGUGCCUGACUUUCUGUUCUCAUUCACUAUUAUUUUUCUCAAUAAUAUUUUGUUGUUAAGGAGGAGACUAUAAGUACUAUAAAGAAACAUUGCAGUGAGAAAAUGAGGUGUCUGAAAUCCCAGUUAGAAGCUUACCAGGAGCUGAUGAACAAGAGCAACAUACACUGGCAAAAUACAGUUAAGAAUCUGAGAGAAAAAAACAAACAACUGAUCCAGGAGAAGGAAGAUCUUCUUUACCAAAUGAAACAAAGAACAGAGACCUGGAGAAAAGAAAAGGUCAGGAUUCUAGAAAAUUUGUGUAAAAAGCUAGAUUACCUUUAUACACAGCACAUACUGAUUUUACAGGAACUACACAACAUCAGUUUACAUGUGGAAAGAUUGCAAGACUUCAUGAAUUUCCAGAUAAAAAUUCUUCAAAAGAAGUCUGAAAAGGCAGGAGGAGAAAAUUCAGAUGUGUCAGAAGUUUUGGUAAUAAAAACAGACCAAGUGAGCAAAAAUGCAGCUAAUGAAGAAAGGAAGACUGACUGGUCAGUGGAAAAGCAGUAUCUUUGGCAAGCACAUGCCAUCCUGCAAGAGAUAAAAGAAUCUAUACAGAAACGAGAGAGAGAAGUCACUGAGCUCUUACAAAGUGAAAAAAAGUUUAACAAGGCAAUGAAACCUCAAGUGACAGUGCUAAUAUUCUUGAAAUCUCUUAUCAAGAUGGUUCACACCAUAUAUUGUGAUGUUCCUGGGGCACAGCAAUGUAUCCAUCAACUUAUCAGGAAGAACAAGGAUGAAAGACCUGAUUUGGAAGAAGUUUUUAAUAAUGCUCAGGCUGACAUUCUGUCCUAUGAAAUACUUUGUGGAAAUGAACUUAUGGAUGACACAAGGACACACCUCCCAACGAAGCUUUUCAGAAACAUUGGGAAGGCAAAGUCUGAUUUAGAAUAUGUUGAAACAGAAAAAAUUGUGUUUGAGUGUAUCCAAACAGGAGAAAUCCCGAACUGGAUUAAAAGGGAUUGUCUUUAUGAAGCCUGGUCAGAAGACCCUGCAAUAUGCUCUGAGGAAAUAGAGUCACCAUUCCAAGGAACUCGCGCAGAAGUUUAAAAUGGAAAUCAAGAAUCAUAGUCCAGGAGCAAUGGACCCCAACAAGGAGGAAAUUGGGCAAAAAUGAUGUGAAUCCUCCAUGCAUGGCAAAGCUGAGCAAAUUCGGAGCAAAAAAGAGGCUUUUGAUUGGAAACCUGAAGACAGAAAGAAGCACACCUCCUACAAAGACAUUCCUUGAGCAUUUCUACAAAAGCUGCAUGGAUGUGCUGAUCCCCUUAGAAUUUAGCUAAUUGUCCUUGUGCUCACAGUCCCUUCCUGCUUUUGAUCAGCACUUUAUCCUGCAUUUCUUUCUUAACUCUUCCUCUAAAUGACGUAUUAACGAGACUAAUCUGACUGAGAUGGUGACACGUUUGCCCCAAAGUUCCCUUAAACAGUACCUAAGCCAUUGCUUUUUUUUUUUUUUUUUUUUUUCUCUAUCAGUGUUUGGUCACAUCACUCAGUUUCCACUCACACCUCUCUGCAGGUUUGGAGUGUGUUGCUUUCGUUGUUUCAGCUAUCUGUUUCCACAGCUGAGCUUUAUUGUUUCUUCUCUUUACUCUGUGUGAAAAGGUGUGAUUACAUUGGCCUGUGACAUUUCACUCAGCCUUUCUGUACAAUAAAGCUAUAUUUUCUUUUGUUCUUUUAAUCUGCCAUAAUUUGCUUAUUAAUAACCUCCUGAAAGAUAAUAGACUUUACUAGUAUCUCCUCCCAUGAUGGGAACACAUUUAUAGCAUCCUUUAGCAGUUUUCAUACUUCAUCUGUUGGUUAAUAAACGAACAAUGUAAAGCUGGUUGCAUUUUUCAUUUUUUUAUCCUUAAAAGACAAAAAUGUAUUUUGAAGAAAUAUGAAUUUUAAAUUGCAUUUUAAGCAGUAUGUUGC